GAUGAUUGGUUUCCUCUCCGUGAAGAGGAUUUGAAGGCUGCGACUGCCAUCACGAGAUAAAGAAGAAAAAUGUAGCGAAUAAGUUUCUUUGCAUCUUCGGAAACGGCGAAGCUUCUUUCUCUUUUGUCUUGUUUAUUGUAAAAUAGAGAUGAUGCUAGUCGAGGUGGUGUGACAUUUAAGGGUGGAGGUUUGAUUAGAGGUAUUUAUGGUAAUUGAAUUUAAAGUUACGUGAAGGCGACGGGUGAGUGUAGUGCUUUAAUGGCAAUUAUGGGGUGUUUAUUGCUUUGAAGACGAUGGUGAUAUUAGAGCUGAAACUAGUAUGGGCUGGCGGUUAAUUUGAAUUUACUGAUUUGGGUGUUAUUCUUAUCGUGAAGUUAAUUGUUAUGUUGAUAAAGUUCUAAAUAUAUGUACAGACGGUGGCGACUCUUUUGACGACUCUUUGAUAAAUUAUUAUAGUUGUGUCCAAA